GAGUGUGUUGUCAAGUUGACUGUUGUGUUUACACCGCUGGCUGGUCAAGAGGUAUCGGAAGACUACAUUAAGGAUUCCAUUGCUCAGUCGUAUCAGACAUUCUAUGCUGUUGAAGCUCACGUUCAAGCCACUUAUUAAUCAACUAAAUGAUCAUCUGUACUUUGCUUUAAUAACCGGUUUCUAACUGGGAGUGUUUACUGCAUGCAAUGUAUGAAGUUAUAUAUGUACCCUGUAAUGAUUUUUCUUAAAGUACUGCUAGAUCUGUAAUGUGAAUUUCGCAUCAGCUGCGUGUUAUGGCAUGACAAGUUGGCAACUCAUUAUUCUAAGCUAUAUUGUCCUCUUAUUAUUUAUUUGUACAAUUAAUUAAUCCAUACAUAUGCGAAUGCGAUCAACAAAACCUAAAACCGUGCAUUUUGUCUGGUCUUUAACUAUUUUUGACAUAUACUAUAGAUAUCUCUUUGAAGGAGUUGGAAAUGGAUAUAAAAUUAAAAAUAAACUAUAAAUCUAUCCGUUCAAACUCUUAUCAUAUUAAACAUAUUUAUUCCUAUAUCAAAAUUAUAAACUCAAAUGUUGACGUCUCCAUCAGUGUAAACCAAUAGAAGCUCCCGGAGCUAUUUUAAGAAGUGAAAAUAUUGAGGUUGAUUCGAGAAUUUUUGAAUUCAAAUCUUAAUCCUAAUUGAUUUUAAGUUGAUCUUGCGGCGGCUGUGAGCAGUCAGCUGCCACAGAAAUCUCUUUCUACGGUGGAGUCCGAGAAUAUCAAUUUUGUUACUAUAUAUGUGUGUGUUAUAUAUAGAUAUGACACGAGAUAUGUUCUAACUAUCUCUUUCUCACGUAGAUUUCCAGAUUCCCAAUUUUGUUAUUAUAUAUCGAUAUGAUAAUAUAUCGAGAUGACAUAUUUUAAUUGAUAUUAUUUAGAUGAGAGAAAUAUUUUAUGAUGAAAACAAGAAAAUUUUAAUUUCUUUAUUUAUUCCUAGCUAUAAGUUAUAAAACAUAAAAGAAAUUGAACAAAAUUUCUUACAUACUUGUCCAAAAGUUUCUCUGCAAUUUUAUGUGCCGGUUUAUUAACAAGAAGCCGGAGUUCUUCUAAUUUCUGCUUUUCAUGAUUCAUUUGUAUAAAAAGGUAAGAGCACUAAAAAUUGAGAAUGCUAGUUCUUUUUAGCAAUUCUCUCACAGCUUUUCUUUAUUUUACAAACAUUUUAUUAACUUAUUUACUUCUCACUUCUAAUUCAUUUUUUUAAUUUUAAACAAAAAGUUAUUUGUUUUAAAUUUACCUAAACGCGCCUCUUUACUCUUUUUUUUUUCCUCACGUAAACACCUGAAUGAAAUAAUUAAUUAUUAGACAACAACAUAUGUAAACGAUGAGUAGGUAGUAUGAAUUGGCUUUAUUUACUCAUAUCAUUAUAUACUAACGAGUUAAAACAUUAUACGGUUGAAUUUUAUAACCAUUAAUAAAUUUAUACUCGUCCGCCGGCCAAGUCACUCUUAUCGUCGUCAUCUGUGAUGUCAGUGCAUUAUUAGGUCUGUUUGAUUAUAUUAUAAAUUACCUUUGCUAAGCAUUAAAAAUUACCUUUUUUUAUUAGAAGUUAUAACAAUUUGAACUGAUUUAUAAAUUAUUUGUAAAAAUCAACAAUUUCUCAAUAGACAUUAGACAUGAUACUCUGAUCUUUAUUAAUAUUGGUACACAUAUUAAAAUUAAAUAUUAAAAUAAAUAUUAAUAUUUAAUGUUGCAAACAUUCGAAUAUAUCCGAUAAUAUGACCUUCCUCCUAAUCAAAAUAUAUAAUUUUGUACUGUUUUAUCUCUAUUUUCACAGUGAGUUGUCUUUUCUUUAUCUGUCCGGUGAAAUUAAACAAUUUUCAGGUUCAAGUAUGAAUCCGUAUAUGGUGAUUAGCAGAAAGUCUUUGUCUUUUUGGAUUAUCGAUCUUACGCCAAAUAAAUUGUCUGCAUGCUUAUUAUCAAGUUUUUCUUUAUUCCAUAUAAUUAAUUAAACAAUCUAAACGACAGAAAAGUUUAUAUUUAAAUUAUCACCGCGGGGCUCAGUCAAUGCAUGUUGUCGUGUUUAUAAUCUCCCAUGUGGUGCAGUAAGGUAAGGUAAGAGCAUCUUUCAUGCUUUACUCAACCAAACUCUCAAUUUUAAAUUUAAUGAGCAUAAAUUGAUAAUAUCUUUUAACUCUUCCUUUCAAAAUGUAUCCAGAAGCAUUUGUAGUUUAUUAUUAUUAUUAUUAUAAAUUCACUUUCCUAUCAUUUUAUUCAAUCUUAUCUCUAAUUAUCAUUUCAAAUAAUAACAAAAUAUAAAUAGGGAGCAAGUAUUAAAAUAGAACGGAAUUUAUCACAAAUUUAAUGUAUUACUUAUUAGAACUCGUGUAUUAUAGUAAUUGGUCGCUUAUUAUAAAUUUUGCAUGUGCAUCAAAUUGGUGCUCUUGGGCCUCCACAUCUGAGUAUAAAUAGAUGUUCUAGUGCUCGCAUUUUUACGCACGCAAAUCUCUUCCUAAUUUCUUGUGUUUUACAUAUAUAAAUUCUCUCGAGUAGUAUCUAGUCUCAAGUUCAGAGUAAAUCAUGGGAGUAGUAACCAGAACUGCGGAGGCACGUUCGUCAAAAAUGACAGCAGCUCAGCUGUACAAAAACAUGUUCAUUGACAUGGAUAAAGUCAUGCCCAAAAUUUUACCCCAGAUCUUCAAGUCCGUUCGACUCGUCGAAGGUGACGGCGGUGUUGGAACUGUCAAGGAAAUCACUUACGGUGAAGGUAUAUACUCCCUCUAUUUUGAAAUAUGGGUGAUUCGACUUUUUGAUACGUGUUUCUAAGUCGUUAGUAAAAUCAUAAUUUUUACACCUAUUAUAAUAAUUACUUGCAGCUGUGAAGGCGACGACUAUGAUCCAGAAACUAGUUGAAAUGGAUCCAGAAGCAAUGACAUACACCAAAGUGAUCAUCGGAGGUGACGUGUUGAUGGGGACACUCGAAUCAGUCGCUUAUCAUUCGGUAGUUGAGUCGAGUGAUUCGGGAGAGUGUGUUGUCAAGUUGACUGUUGUGUGUACACCGCUUCCUGGUCAAGAGGUAUCGGAAGACUACAUUAAGGAUUCCAUUGCUCAGUCGUAUCAGACAUUCUAUGCUGUCGAAGAGCACGUUCAAGCCACUUGUUAAUCAACUAAGGGGGUGUUUGGUUCAUGGUUAACGAGGCCGGUUAACGGGAAUUGGAACCUUAUACCCAUACAUGAUGUUUGGAUUAGCAAAAUUUUUGUGUGGAAUGGGAACCUCAUUCCUUCUUGGUGGGUAACCCACUCCUUCCUCACCCCUUGGGUUACCCAUUCCCAUACCCCCAUUCCCAUACCCCUCAUUCCCAUUCCGCAUUCCCAUUCCCACCAACCAUCCAAACACCCCCCAAAAUCAUUGUCUGUACUUUGCUUUAAUAACCAGUUUCUAACUGGGAGUGUUUGCUGCGUACUAUUUAUUUGUUUGAGUGUGUUUACUGCAUGUAAUAUUGUAAUGUAUGAAGUUAUGAACCCUG
rnacentral:lncRNA from 1 species